ACGUACACUCCUGCGGGAGGCAGCAGUGGGGAAUAUUGCACAAUGGGCGCAAGCCUGAUGCAGCGACGCCGCGUGGGGGAUGAAGGCCUUCGGGUUGUAAACUCCUUUCGCUAGGGACGAAGCUUUUUUGUGACGGUACCUAGAUAAGAAGCACCGGCUAACUACGUGCCAGCAGCCGCGGUAAUACGUAGGGUGCGAGCGUUGUCCGGAAUUACUGGGCGUAAAGGGCUCGUAGGUGGUUUGUCGCGUCGUCUGUGAAAUUCUGGGGCUUAACUCCGGGCGUGCAGGCGAUACGGGCAUAACUUGAGUGCUGUAGGGGUAACUGGAAUUCCUGGUGUAGCGGUGAAAUGCGCAGAUAUCAGGAGGAACACCGAUGGCGAAGGCAGGUUACUGGGCAGUUACUGACGCUGAGGAGCGAAAGCAUGGGUAGCGAACAGGAUUAGAAACCCUGGUAGUCCCAUG
rnacentral:rRNA from 1 species